UGUGGCAUACGGCUCAGUAACACGUAGUCAACAUGCCCAGGGGACGUGGAUAACCUCGGGAAACUGAGGAUAAACCGCGAUAGGUCAUCACUUCUGGAAUGGGUAAUGACUUAAACCUAUAUGGCCCCUGGAUUGGACUGCGGCCGAUCAGGCUGUUGGUGAGGUAAUGGCCCACCAAACCUGUAACCGGUACGGGCUCUGAGAGGAGGAGCCCGGAGAUGGGCACUGAGACAAGGGCCCAGGCCCUAUGGGGCGCAGCAGGCGCGAAACCUCUGCAAUAGGCGAAAGCUUGACAGGGUUACUCUGAGUGAUUUCCGUUAAGGAGAUCUUUUGGCACCUCUAAAAAUGGUGCAGAAUAAGGGGUGGGCAAGUCUGGUGUCAGCCGCCGCGGUAAUACCAGCACCCCGAGUGGUCGGGACGAUUAUCGGGCCUAAAGCAUCCGUAGCCGGUUCUACAAGUCUUCCGUUAAAUCCAGCUGCUUAACAGUUGGGCUGCGGAGGAUACUAUAGAUCUAGGAGGCGGGAGAGGCAAGCGGUACUUAGUGGGUAGGGGUAAAAUCCGUUGAUCCACUGAAGACCACCAGUGGCGAAGGCGGCUUGCCAGAACGCGCUCGACGGUGAGGGAUGAAAGCUGGGGGAGCAAACCGGAUUAGAUACCCGGGUAGUCCCAGCUGUAAACGAUGCAGACUCGGUGAUGAAUAGGCUUCGUGCC
rnacentral:rRNA from 1 species